rnacentral:rRNA from 1 species
CGGCUGCUAAUCCCGGAUAAGCCGAAAGGUAAAAGAUUUAUCGCCAAGAGAGGGGCUUGCGUCUGAUUAGCUAGUUGGUAGGGUAAGAGCCUACCAAGGCGACGAUCAGUAGCUGGUCUGAGAGGAUGAUCAGCCACACUGGGACUGAGACACGGCCCAGACUCCUACGGGAGGCAGCAGUGGGGAAUUUUCCGCAAUGGGCGAAAGCCUGACGGAGCAAGACCGCGUGGGGGAGGAAGGUUCUUGGAUUGUCAACCCCUUUUCUCAGGGAAGAAGAAAGUGACGGUACCUGAGGAAUCAGCAUCGGCUAACUCCGUGCCAGCAGCCGCGGUAAUACGGAGGAUGCAAGCGUUAUCCGGAAUGAUUGGGCGUAAAGAGUCCGUAGGUGGCUGAUCAAGUCUGCUGUUAAAGAGCGAGGCUUAACUUCGUCAAAGCAGUGGAAACUGAAGAGCUAGAGUGUAGUAGGGGCAGAGGGAAUUCCUGGUGUAGCGGUGAAAUGCGUAGAGAUCAGGAAGAACACCGGUGGCGAAAGCGCUCUGCUGGGCUACAACUGACACUGAGGGACGAAAGCUAGGGGAGCGAAUGGGAUUAGAUACCCCAGUAGUC